rnacentral:rRNA from 1 species
GAUAGUGUUAACUUGUAGUGAUGAAAGAGUGUAAGUGUGAAAGAAUGAGAUUGAUAUUACCAUUGUGCGUUUUCCAAAGAUUCUUCACUACACAAAAUCCUUGAAUAUAUUUCGCUAAAUU